UCUUACCUUAGUCUUUGGCGACGCCUAGUGGACAUUUCACUUACCGCACCGUUGAGCAGGUUUUCCGUUAAAGUUAGAAACUGCCGUCCUCUUAUUACUUCCUUUCCGUGUGACGCAUUGGAGAAGCUAUUGCUUUUGAGGAAUAUGGUGGGCACAUCAUCGGUAGCCUCAGACCGAGUUCGACAGAUGUUGCCGUUACCAUGACAACAAGAAAGCCAUUUACCUGACCUUUAAUGCUAACUAACGCCUGUUGGACCAGGGGCACUUCAAGAAAAAGACAAAAGACACGAAAGUUGAGAAAUGUGAAGCUGAUGUAUAGCACAGAUACACAGGAACCACAAGUGCGUUGCAUGGAAUAGGAAGAUUAGCUGCCAGGCCUCCCUAUCAACCAUAACCAGGAACCUGUUGACAUGGAUACACACUCCCACAUGGCAUUAGCCAAUCGCAGCCCUCGAGGGCACAUCCAGGCAUGAAUUUUAUCAGGUCUCCAACAUACUGUCACACUGUGCCACAACAGCAGCACCGAGGAAACAGCUCUCGUGGGAUCAAGGGGAGCAUCAUGAACUGACGUGCAGUUCCUCCUGGGCAUGAACACAUCAGGGACAUACAGGCUUCAGGUACUGUAGGUAAACAAUUUCUGUUUAAUUUGCACUUAAGGCAGCUGGAGAGGGUCAAACUACCCUCCCAGGAAUUCCUCUAAUGCAGCUUAAACAGGUGAAGGCAGCCAUAUGCUCCUCUUCACUGUCAGAUCUUGACAUACAGUACAAUCCUGGGAGAACGUUGUUAGCAGGUGAGGGAAUGCACAACACAAUGAUCAGCUUGACUGCACCGUUAGCAUAUGGACCUGCUCUAAAGGAACAGUGUUUAUGACCCUAAUAUUCUGAAUACUACCAGAUGAAUGCAUGUGAUGCGUUAAACAGCCUUAUACACCAGCCAAUCAGAAAAACGCAGACCUGCACAUGAACAGGAGGCUGGA